UCUCCGUAGGUGAACCUGCGGAGGGAUCACUACAGGCUUGCAAAAGCUCUGAAACCACUGUUUAUCUACCUGAAUCUGCUUCGGCGGGCGGCCCCAGGGCGGGGCCGUGGCCGCAAGGCGCCCGCCGAAGACCCCUAAACUCUGUCCUUUUGAGAAUCUCUGAGUAACAUAUUAAACAAAAAAACAACUUUCAACAACGGAUCUCUUGGCUCUG
rnacentral:misc_RNA from 1 species